ensembl:lncRNA
CGGCUCCGCCGUCAAACGGCCGCAGACCACAGACCGACCGAGCGCUGAGCCGAGGAGGAGUACCGACGCUGCCGAACAAACGCUGGGAAAUUACGCCUCUCUGCCGCGGGAUUCUUCUGGGAGUUUGUCCGUGAACGAGGACGAUGAAAUAGCGUCGACAGGAGGAGAAACUUCCACCGGAUGAAUCGGAGAAAGGAAGAGAAAAGAUCGGUGGUUGUGAUGUUGGUCUGACCUGACUUCCACACUACAUUUCCCAUGGAGCCGUGCGCAGACACUGUUCUACCAUGGAGCCACCAGUCAGCCGGCCAGCAGCAGAUGGGUCCCCCCACAUAAAGAGCCGGGUUCUGAUCAAGGUUUCUUCCGGUUAAAAGGGAGUUUAUUCUUGCCACUGUCUCCUUAGGGC